CUCACAAUCUUCUUUGUUCAAUCUUCGUGAAUUCCAAAUGGAGUUGGAUGAAGUCAAAUCUAUUACAUUAGAUCUGGGAAAUGGCAAGUAUGUUAAACUGUUUCAGACAUUCUCUAUCAAACAAAUAAUUGGAGCACAAGGCGACAUACUGAGUUGUCCGAGAGGUGAUCAGAUGAUUGUUAUUCCAUCAGGAGCUCUCCAGUCAGAUACAGAAAUUGAAGUUACAUUUUAUCGAGUUGUUGAGUCUGUUGGCCUGGACAGUUCGGAAUUUGUGUCAAACCUGAUGGAGAUCACUCCACAUCAACUCAAUUUUAAGAAGUCAGUUGAGAUUUUGAUGCGUCAUCAUCUGUUUAUUGAAGGCGACAGCACUAAAGUUACAGUCUUGUUUCACAGUGGUAAACCAACAGACAGUAGCUUUACAUCUCUCUGUCAGCUGUCGUCAGUUAACGACACUGCUUUGACCAAUUUCAUGACAAUGUCUCUUUGGGAAGAUUUCGUUUACAUUGAAACUUCUCAUAUCUGUAGGUUUGGCUUGCAUUGUAAAGGCAAGUCUUUUAUUGAAGUUUGGGCAUCAUUUCAUACACCCAAGAUUCCACACCCUGAACAGCAUAGUGUUACUCUGUGUCUUUCAGCUAGUCGACCCGACCCCAAUGAUGAGAAAUUUAUUCAUAUGGCUGGUGGUGAAUUAGAGUGCAGGUAUUCUACAUUGCUGCCAUUGGUUUGUGAAGAACAGGAAGAUUUACACGUGACUGUUCGGAUUCCUUCAGAUAUGGAAGGGUGGAAAGCUAGGGAAGAUUUAGAUCUAAGUCAAACAAUUUCUUACAAAAGCAUUCGAAACUUGGUUGUGCUGGGUAUGCAAUAUAUUAGUACAGACUUCGGUUUCAUAAAAGAGAAAACAUCAAAAGUUGAUGUGAUGGAUUUUGCUCCCAUUUUUAUGUUAAAUAACAUUCGAUGCAUUCUGAUUCCAUCAGCUUUUCAAACAUCUGAUUUGGGCACAAUUUCAAGUGGCAAUCAGCAAACAAAUGUUCCCGAGCCAACUGUUGUUGGUGAUGGUACUUUCACUAGUUUGUCAGACAGUCGACAUGCUAAAGCUUUGGAUAGAAUUUCUCCUGGAUCCAAGUCACUAGACACAAGCACUACUUCACUCAAACAAGAUGUCUCUCUAUCUCUGCCGGUUUCAGCUGGCCUUGGAUGGAAUCGUGAAUAUAUUGGCUUAAAUCGACCUGUUACAGACAGUGACAUUGGCUUUCUGUCUGGAUAUGACCAAGUUGCCAAGAAGUCACUUCAAAUAGGAUGGCUGUUGCUACAAGAUGAUGGAUACUCAAUGAAAGACAUCAGUGUAGUUAUGAAGGAUGUUCUAGAUCAACCAGAUUGUGUGAAAGUCACUUAUAUUAUUGAAGAAUGGAGGCAAAGGAGGAAUGAAGCAACUGCUAGAGCAUUGGUUGAUAUCUGCUGUCAUCGAUCAGUAGGUGGUGACAGGUCAUAUAUUGAACAUUCGCUCAUGUUUUCUACUCACUCUCACAGUGCUUCUCAUGAUGAGCAUUACGUUCACUCUGCAGUCAAAGCGAGUGCACCAGCAGCAUUGGAUUCAGAGUUUUGUGGUAAGGAGGCUGCAUGCUCAAAUAAUGUUGCCAGUCAAACAUUGAUUUGAACAACGGCAUUGACUCUAAGGUGGUUAGUUACCUGUAUGUGUAAAUCUAGCCAGAGACUGCUUUAGUGUGUUACAUUGUCUUCAUGAGUUAAUGAUACUUUAUCUAUUUACAUCAAUUAACACAGGUAGAGUUUGUAGUUGUAAAAUUUGUUUGCUAAUAUGGUCCAGCUGGACACUUGACUGCGUGAAGCAUUGGUGUAGAAUACAAUUUACUGUACUUUCUUUCUUCAUGCUUAUAGCUUUUGUGUUUUAUUUGGUUGCGCUGUACGUUGAUUGUAAGCUCACCCAUGUUGCUGUGCAUCAACACACGUUGUAUUGUAUUUUUCCACUUGUAGCAGCAACUGGAAAUGACAGCUGCAGGUUACAGUUGCCUCUACUUGCUGACAGACUGAAGAAUGCUGCUCAACAAGAUCAUCUUGGGGGCUUCAUAAGACCCUGGUGUGACAUUCCUGUUUGUGUUGUUUCAGAAGUUUCUCUUUUGU